rnacentral:tRNA from 1 species
CCGACCUUAGCUCAGUUGGUAGAGCGGAGGACUGUAGAUCCUUAGGUCACUGGUUCGAAUCCGGUAGUUCGGA